GAAGAAACACAUCAAGACCCUCUCAUGUACCCACAGUGUAAUUGGUGUUCUUUAAGUUCCAGGCAACAGAAACCCAAUGCAAUAAAAUUAAUCAAAACAUGGAAUUUCAUUAAUUCACAUCACUGAGAAGGACAUGGUAGAUCUUACCUCAGGCACAUAUGAGUACAUAGAUUUCAAUGAAAGUGGUGUGGCACCAUUUUCUUAAAGCUCUGCAACUUGUUUUUUUCCUGUUCUAGGCUCUUGGUCACCUACUUCAGGCUGAUACUCUUUGCAUAAUAGAGAAUGUAUCCAAACACUGCCUAGCUUCAUAAUUUCCUGGAUUCCGAUGGAAGACGCUUUAGAACUGCUAUGUCAGUCCUGGGAAGAACUUUAGAUUGAUCUGACUUGGGUAAUGUGGCAGUCUCUAAACCAACCACUAGGGCUGUGUGGACAAUGUUCCAUGCAAGUCUAGACCAGAAUACUCCAUCCGCUCCUGGAACUACCAGGAUCCACCUGUGAAAAGAAUUGGUAUAAAGACAAAUUAGUCAUGCUUCACACAGAUUUAUUCCUAGAUACUGCAAAGAAAGCAAUAAUGCUCUUUCCAGCUAAAGCAUCUUCAUUAAACAGAUGACAUUUGACCUAGACCUUAAAGUACAGGUAAAUAUUGUCUUGGAAAGGAAGUGGGACAUGAGCAUUCAAUAAAUGUUAUUCAUGAACAUAGAGGCAUGGACUAUAGAUGUCUCUGACAAGCAUAGAGAACAAGGAUCCUGGAACUCCCCGUGUCUUCUAUCUGUGUACACUGGUGCAGAAGAAAUAAUUCUCAAAAAUAAACUAGUUAAUCAUUAGUUGGAAGCAAAGUAUCACCUUUAUUAAUAACAAAGCAUAGUUUGGAGGACACAGUGCAUUUUUCAGACAGGUAGACUCUGGCCCCCUCCUCUGAAUUAGACAGACUUGUUGUUACCUCUAUAGGUAUCAAUAGAGCCCAACAAGCCUCUGCUCUCAGGGAAAGAAAACUGAACAACAUAUGACAGAAAGGAGCAGAGGAG
rnacentral:lncRNA from 1 species